rfam:Ovis aries breed Texel chromosome 13, whole genome shotgun sequence.
UCCCUCGUGGUCCAGUGGCUAAGACUCUGCGCUCUCAAUGAAGGGAGCCCAGGUUCAAUUCCUGGUCAAGGAA